GUGUCAGCAGCCGCGGUAAUACGUAGGGUCCGAGCGUUGUCCGGAAUUAUUGGGCGUAAAGAGCUCGUAGGCGGUCCUUUAAGUCUGAUGUGAAAUCUCAGGGCUCAACCCUGAAACUGCAUCAGAUACUGGGGGACUUGAGGUAGGUAGGGGAAGGUGGAAUUCCUGGUGUAGCGGUGAAAUGCGCAGAUAUCAGGAGGAACACCCGUGGCGAAGGCGGCCUUCUGGGCCUUACCUGACGCUGAGGAGCGAAAGCGUGGGGAGCGAACAGGGUUAGAUACCCUGGUAGUCCACGCCGUAAACGAUGGGUGCUAGGUGUGGGAGGUCAUCCACUCCUUCCGUGCCGCAGCUAACGCAUUAAGCACCCCGCCUGGGGACUACGGCCGCAAGGCUAAA
rnacentral:rRNA from 1 species